rnacentral:tRNA from 1 species
GGCUAUCUAGCUCAGCCGGGUAGAGCAGCAGGCCAUGCCUGCGGGUCACGGGUUCGAGUCCCGUGAUAGCACC